UCGAGGAUCUUCGGCAAUGGGCGCAAGCCCGACCGAGCGACGCCGCGUGUGCGAUGAAGGCCUUCGGUUGUAAAGCACUGUCGAGGGGGAGGAAAAGCCCGCAAGGGUUUGAUCGACCUCUGGAGGAAGCACGGGCUAAGUUCGUGCCAGCAGCCGCGGUAAGACGAACCGUGCAAACGUUGUUCGGAAUCACUGGGCUUAAAGGGCGCGUAGGCGGGCAAGCAAGUCGAAGGUGAAAUCCCACGGCUCAACCGUGGAAGUACCCCCGAUACUGCUUGUCUUGAGGGAGAUAGGGGCGUGCGGAACUUCCGGUGGAGCGGUGAAAUGCGUAGAUAUCGGAAGGAACACCGGUGGCGAAAGCGGCGCGCUGGAUCUCUUCUGACGCUGAGGCGCGAAAGCCAGGGGAGCAAACGGGAUUAGAUACCCCGGUAGUCCUGGCCCUAAACGUUGGGUACUAGGUAGUGACUUACAUGGGUUCACUGCCGAAGCAAAAGUG
rnacentral:rRNA from 1 species